CAGUAGCCACGGGAAUACGUAGGGUGCAAGCGUUAAUCGGAAUUACUGGGCGUAAAGCGUGCGCAGGCGGUUAUAUAAGACAGAUGUGAAAUCCCCGGGCUCAACCUGGGAACUGCAUUUGUGACUGUAUAGCUAGAGUACGGCAGAGGGGGAUGGAAUUCCGCGUGUAGCAGUGAAAUGCGUAGAUAUGCGGAGGAACACCGAUGGCAAAGGCAAUCCCCUGGGCCUGUACUGACGCUCAUGCACGAAAGCGUGGGGAGCAAACAGGAUUAGAUACCCCCGUAGUCCCUGUCUCUUAUAC
rnacentral:rRNA from 1 species